UACGUAGGGGGCGAGCGUUGUCCGGAAUUAUUGGGCGUAAAGAGCGUGUAGGCGGUUCGGUAAGUCUGCUGUGAAAGUCCAGGGCUCAACCCUGGGAUGCCGGUGGAUACUGUCGAGCUCGAGUCCGGAAGAGGCGAGUGGAAUUCCUGGUGUAGCGGUGAAAUGCGCAGAUAUCAGGAGGAACACCAAUGGCGAAGGCAGCUCGCUGGGACGUGACUGACGCUGAGACGCGAAAGCGUGGGGAGCAAACAGG
rnacentral:rRNA from 1 species